UACGAAGGGGGCUAGCGUUGCUCGGAAUCACUGGGCGUAAAGGGUGCGUAGGCGGGUUUUUAAGUCAGGGGUGAAAUCCUGGAGCUCAACUCCAGAACUGCCUUUGAUACUGAAGAUCUUGAGUCCGGGAGAGGUGAGUGGAACUGCGAGUGUAGAGGUGAAAUUCGUAGAUAUUCGCAAGAACACCAGUGGCGAAGGCGGCUCACUGGCCCGGUACUGACGCUGAGGCACGAA
rnacentral:rRNA from 1 species